rnacentral:tRNA from 1 species
UUCUUUAUAUUUUAAUUUUUAGAAUUUUUAAUUUGUAAUUAAAAGGUUUUUAGAUUUU